rnacentral:rRNA from 1 species
UACGAAGGGGGCUAGCGUUGCUCGGAAUUACUGGGCGUAAAGCGCACGUAGGCGGCUUACUAAGUCAGGGGUGAAAUCCUGGAGCUCAACUCCAGAACUGCCUUUGAUACUGGUGAGCUUGAGUCCGGAAGAGGUGAGUGGAACUGCGAGUGUAGAGGUGAAAUUCGUAGAUAUUCGCAAGAACACCAGUGGCGAAGGCGGCUCACUGGUCCGGUACUGACGCUGAGGUGCGAAAGCGUGGGGAGCAAACAGG